AGCAGCGUGGCUCAGUGGAAAGAGCAUGGGCUUGGGAGUCAGAGGUCAUGGGUUCAAAUCCCGGCUCUGCCA
rnacentral:tRNA from 1 species